GAAGCUUCUGAAGUCACCCUAACUCAUAAAAGAUCAAGAACUAGACAAAAUGUAUCUGAAGAAUUGAUUAUGGGAAACAAAGACGAACCUGCCAGAACAAGAUCAACAUUCAAGGGAUCUGAAGAAACGCUUAUGGAACUAGUAUCUCUUAUAGAGCCAACAUUUUGUGAAGAAGCACUUCAAGACAAAGAAUGGAUUCUAG
rnacentral:lncRNA from 1 species